AUGGCAGUGUUUAGAGUGUGUGACACGCCAUGGUCAGAACGUGUGACACGGCAGGGUCAUAAUGUGUGAAACGUGUCACGACCCGAAACUCCCCAUCUAGCCCGUGCCAAUCACCGCGAAGCCUCGACAGACAUUCUUCACCUCGAAUGCCGAUCGAAACCUCGCAAGGCUCUCGUAUCAGCUUUCGCACUUCCCCGGUGAGCAAUAGUUAUCAAAUAUCGUAAUUCAAAGGGUUACGAGUCAUUUCCAAAUAAGAACAUAACAUAUUUUUUCUGGCUCACAAGGGCAUUUUCGUCAUUUUUUGUCGAAAAUCUCAAAACUUGCUAAAAAUGUAGUAAGUAAGGAGAAAAUAUAUAUUUAGUGAUUUAAAAACAAAUUAAGUAUCUAAAACGUUCAUUUGAAGUGAAAAUUUGACCAUUUGAAUAUAAUAAAAUAUUCAAUAAAAUAAACUAUUUUCUUGUAAAAUAAUUUUUAUAAAGCUAUCGGUAAAUAAUUCUUAUAGCGUAAAAGUUAAUUAUAUUCAUAUAUACUAUAAAGCAAAUAACCAAAGUAUAAAAUUACUUUUAUAGUGACAUGUGGGCUCACAUCUAACCAAAAUGCAUCGGAAGCUGAAAACCUACAGCUUUUGCCGAUUCAAGUUCAAAUGAAGGUCCUUGUCAAAGUUAGCUAACUAUGAAAUUCCCCGAGCUUGAAAUGUGAGGAAAUAAGGGUGGUGAGAUUAUAAAAUCCAAGUGAGUAAACAGACACCAUAUAAACUAUCUAAAGGCGAGUAAAUGAAGACGAAUUAAAAUAUUCUUUUCCAAUAUAUGUUUUAUAACAUAAAUAUUCAGUUUACUCAAUUAAUCAACUUGGCUUAUAUAUCUCACAAAACUUGGCUCCUGCUAAAAUCAUUCCCGGGGAUGCCUUGGCCUAGGCAUCUGACCAUGACCACCAAGGCUGUUAAAUGUCUUUACAUCCGAAAUUCUAGCCAUGCCUUGGUGUUGGCUGAGUCUCACUCUCACGCGGUGGUCCACGUGAAGUGCACUCAAAUCUUUACCUCCAGAGACACCCUCCACACGGCUCUUCGAUAGAGGUAAGGUAUACCUGAUUAUGUGCCCCCUCUUUUAGGCUGGUCCACAUAACCUCCACUGCAGGGAUUAUGGAUUAUUUUAUCUACCACCUGAUUUAUAGAAUCUUUAUCUGCAUGACAUGGCAAUUUAUCGCAACCUAGCCUCUCAAGGCUGAAUACAUAGUACAAAUAAUUUUAACGCCAAAAAUCAGUUUAGCCAUUCAUGCUCAUAUAUUGUCAUAAGCUAUUCAAUUUAAAACCAUAAAUUUACAACACAUCAAGUGGUCUCUAAUUACUCUAUUUUCAAAACUAUAAUUCAAUUUCAAGACAGUGUGAUAAAAUCAUUUCAUUAUAUCACAUUUUGCUUAUAAAACACAAGAUUUACCAUUUAAACUCAUUUUCCAUAAAAUCACAAAAUCGGAGAAAAACCACUUUAGAUAAUUAAGAUGAUAGUAAGGUUACUCACAGUUCUAGGAGUCGAUAUACUCCUAAUCCCAGUCUUCAAGUACAAUCUCUGUACUUUUACCAGUGUAAUUUGCUCACUACCUAUCCACAAUGUACAAUACAUAAUUCACCACAUUAAUGCUUGACCAUUAUAAAAUCAAUUUAGGCUCGAUGUAUAUGCAUGAUAUGAUAUGCAACUUAUCCGACUACCGCUUAAACGCAGUGUUGACCCAAUUCGGCCUAUUACCCGAUUAAAUGACAUUUGUAUCCGAUUUAAUCCCAAAUUACUCCAUUUCAUUUCUAAUAUUUCAAUUCACUAAAUAUAAUUCCAAUAAUCUAAAAUUCAGCCUAACAACCCUCACAAUUCUUCUUGAAAAUUUCGGCCAUUGUGGUGCAUUAUCACUAAAAAUUUUCCCAUUCCAGUUUCUCACCAUAAAUCAUCAUUUCAUCAAUUUUUCAACCAAUUCACUUGAUCACAAAAUCAAUUCAUUACUUCUACACUUCACAUAGGGUUCGGCCAUUGAAGGUUCAUGGGAAAAAUGGAUUCUUUUCUUGUUGUUUUGUUUCUAAACAUGCUUAACUAAAUCUAAACACCAACAUAACUCAAAAUCAAACAAUUCCAACAUCAUUUCUCUCACCAAACCCAUUCGGCCAGCCAUGAUUUUCCCAUGAAAACAUACAAUCCAACCAUGGAAAUUAAGGAGAAAUGCAUGGGUAAGGUAAAUCACUAGCAAAAUAAAAAAAAAUUUACCUUUGCCUGAUCAAAUCAUUGAAUUCUAACACUUUCUCUUUGAUUUUCCCCACCUAGGGUUUGUUCUUCCUUGAUUUCUCUUCUCUUCUGGUUUGAC
rnacentral:lncRNA from 1 species